GACGAACGCUGGCGGCGUGCUUAACACAUGCAAGUCGAACGGAAAGGCCCUGCUUGCAGGGUGCUCGAGUGGCGAACGGGUGAGUAACACGUGGGUGAUCUGCCCCUUACUUUGGGAUAAGCCUGGGAAACUGGGUCUAAUACUGGAUAGGACCAUGCUGUAGGUGGUGUGGUGGAAAGAUUAGUUUCGGUAAGGGAUGAGCUCGCGGCCUAUCAGCUUGUUGGUGGGGUAAUGGCCUACCAAGGCGUCGACGGGUAGCCGGCCUGAGAGGGUGGGCGGCCACAUUGGGACUGGGAUACGGACCAGACUCCUACGGGAGGCAGCAGUGGGGAAUAUUGCACAAUGGGCGCAAGCCUGAUGCUGCGACGCCGCGUGGGGGAUGACGGCCUUCGGGUUGUAAACGCCUUCCAGCCAUGACGAAGCCCUUGUGGUGACGGUAGUGGUAGAAGAAGCACCGGCUAACUACGUG
rnacentral:rRNA from 1 species